rnacentral:rRNA from 1 species
GAUGAAUGCUGGCGGCGUGCCUAACACAUGCAAGUCGAGCGGCAGCGAGGGGUGCUUGCACCCUGUCGGCGAGCGGCGAACGGCUGAGUAACGCGUAGGAAUUUGCCCCAAAGUGAGGAAUAACUGCCCGAAAGGGUAGCUAAUGCCGCAUAUGGUCUUCGGAUUAAAGGAUUUAUCCGCUUUGGGAGAAGCCUGCGUUGGAUUAGGUUGUUGGUAGGGUAAUGGCCUACCAAGCCGACGAUCCAUAGCUGGUCUGAGAGGAUGAUCAGCCAGACUGGAACUGAGACACGGUCCAGACUCCUACGGGAGGCAGCAGUGAGGAAUCUUCCACAAUGGGCGAAAGCCUGAUGGAGCAACGCCGCGCGAAGGAUGAAGGCCUUCGGGUUGUAAACUUCUUUUAUGAGUGAAGAAUAUGACGGUAACUCAUGAAUAAGCACCGGCUAACUACGUG